rnacentral:rRNA from 1 species
UACGGAGGAGGCAAGCGUUAUCCGGAAUUAUUGGGCGUAAAGCGUCCGCAGGUGGCACUUCAAGUCUGCCGUCAAAGACUGGGGCUUAACCCUGGAAAGGCGGUGGAAACUGAAGCGCUAGAGUGCGGUAGGGGUAGAGGGAAUUCCCGGUGUAGCGGUGAAAUGCGUAGAGAUCGGGAAGAACAUCGGUGGCGAAAGCGCUCUACUGGACCGCAACUGACACUGAGGGACGAAAGCGUGGGGAGCAAACAGG